UACCUCUAGGGAUUAUGCCUGAAGAGUUUCCAAUACUCUACCAGUCUCAGCUGCGGGAAGGAGAGUCAAGCGGAUGUCUACCCAUUCCAUUCCUAGCUUGGUCAGUGGCUAGUGAGUGGAAGGCAAUCUGCUUUGAGU